CAGAGGUUUGGUCCCAGCCUUCCUAUUAAUCCCUAGCAGACUUACACAUGCAAGUAUCCUCAUCCCAGUGAAAAUGCCCUCCAAGUCAAUAAAACUAAGAGGAGCUGGUAUCAAGCUCACACCCGUAGCUCAUGACGCCUUGCUCAGCCACACCCCCACGGGAGACAGCAGUGAUAAAAAUUAAGCUAUAAACGAAAGUUUGACUAAGUCAUGCUAAUUAGGGUUGGUAAAUUUCGUGCCAGCCACCGCGGUCAUACGAUUAACCCAAGUUAAUAGGCACACGGCGUAAAGCGUGUUUAAGCACUAUGCCAAAUAGAGUUAAACUCCAAUUAAGCUGUAAAAAGCCAUAAUCAAGACGAAAAUAAAUAACGAAAGUAACUUUACAACCGCUGAAACACGAUAGCUAAGAUCCAAACUGGGAUUAGAUACCCCACUAUGCUUAGCCCUAAACAUAAAUAGUUAUAUAAACAAAACUAUUCGCCAGAGUACUACCGGCAAUAGCUUAAAACUCAAAGGACUUGGCGGUGCUUUAUACCCUUCUAGAGGAGCCUGUUCUAUAAUCGAUAAACCCCGAUAGACCUUACCACCCCUUGCUAAUACAGUCUAUAUACCGCCAUCUUCAGCAAACCCUAAAAAGGAACAAAAGUAAGCACAAUCAUUAUACAUAAAAACGUUAGGUCAAGGUGUAACCUAUGGAGUGGAAAGAAAUGGGCUACAUUUUCUAAUCUAAGAAAACUCUUUACGAAAGUUACUAUGAAAUUAGUAACCAAAGGAGGAUUUAGCAGUAAACUAAGAAUAGAGUGCUUAGUUGAAUUAGGCCAUGAAGCACGCACACACCGCCCGUCACCCUCUUCAAAUAGGCACAAUACACUUAAAUUUAAUUAUACGUAUUAAUCAUAUGAGAAGAGAUAAGUCGUAACAAGGUAAGCAUACUGGAAAGUGUGCUUGGAUAA
rnacentral:rRNA from 15 species